GAUGAACGCUGGCGGCGUGCCUAAUACAUGCAAGUCGAGCGAACAGACGAGGAGCUUGCUCCUCUGACGUUAGCGGCGGACGGGUGAGUAACACGUGGAUAACCUACCUAUAAGACUGGGAUAACUUCGGGAAACCGGAGCUAAUACCGGAUAAUAUAUUGAACCGCAUGGUUCAAUAGUGAAAGACGGUUUUGCUGUCACUUUUAGAUGGAUCCGCGCCGCAUUAGCUAGUUGGUAAGGUAACGGCUUACCAAGGCAACGAUGCGUAGCCGACCUGAGAGGAUGAUCGGCCACACUGGAACUGAGACACGGUCCAGACUCCUACGGGAGGCAGCAGUAGGGAAUCUUCGGCAAUGGGCGAAAGCCUGACGCAGCAACGCCGCGUGAGUGAUGAAGGUCUUCGGAUCGUAAAACUCUGUUAUUAGGAAAGAACAAAUGUGUAAGUAACUAUGCACGUCUUGACGGUACCUAAUCAGAAAGCCACGGCUAACUACGUG
rnacentral:rRNA from 1 species